GAACCGUAGGAGCAUAUGAAUGCUCUCAAGCAUAUGAAUGUUGUAUACAGCCGAAUAGGAAAAACCAUGCGAAUAGGUUUACACUCCUAGCAGUCAAACUGGAACAGCAUACAAUAAAUCCUCCCCCAAUAAUGAGACGACACUUCACUUUGAGGGUUAAGCAGGAACUAACUGUACUGGCACAUAUAGCCUCUUUUAUUCCCAAUCCACAAACUUAGUACUGCCCACAGGGUUUUACAGAAAAACCAAUCAAUCUGUACAAUACACACAGACACUCCCACACAAAAU